AUUGAACGCUGGCGGCAGGCCUAACACAUGCAAGUCGAGCGGAUGAAGGGAGCUUGCUCCUGGAUUCAGCGGCGGACGGGUGAGUAAUGCCUAGGAAUCUGCCUGGUAGUGGGGGAUAACGUCCGGAAACGGGCGCUAAUACCGCAUACGUCCAGAGGGAGAAAGUGGGGGAUCUUCGGACCUCACGCUAUCAGAUGAGCCUAGGCUGGAUUAGCUAGUUGGUGGGGUAAAGGCCUACCAAGGCGACGAUCCGUAACUGGUCUGAGAGGAUGAUCAGUCACACUGGAACUGAGACACGGUCCAGACUCCUACGGGAGGCAGCAGUGGGGAAUAUUGGACAAUGGGCGAAAGCCUGAUCCAGCCAUGCCGCGUGUGUGAAGAAGGUCUUCGGAUUGUAAAACUCUUUUAGUUGGGAGGAAGGGCAGUAAGUUAAUACGUUGCUGUUUUGACGUUACCAACAGAAUAAGCACCGGCUAACUUCGUG
rnacentral:rRNA from 1 species